CCCCUGAUGGUCUAGUUGGAUAUGACGUCUGACUGUAAUGGAACAUUUCAUCAGAAGGUCGCUGGCUCGAUUCCGGCUCGGGGGA
rnacentral:tRNA from 1 species